rnacentral:lncRNA from 1 species
CUUUUUCAAUUUUUCUUUAGUUAGGAUUUUUUUUUUAAUUUCACAUUUAAUCAGUCUAAAUAAUUCAGUCUAAAUAAUUCUCAGUCCAUUGGGUCUGUUUUUUGGUUGUCUCCUCAUAGAGUUCCAAUUGUUUAGGUUUACUGAUCAUAAUUUAGGUUCUGCUUUUCCAUCGAAAUUGGGCCAAUGUCCCUUCAAAUUUCAAAAUUCAUAAUUUUCAUAAAAUAAAUGUUCUUUUUGAAUUUUAAUCCGGUUGAGAUUUAGAAAUACUUACACUCCUACAUGUCUUUUUGGAUCAGUCU